UCCGUAGGUGAACCUGCGGAAGGAUCAUUACAGAGUUCAUGCCCGAAAGGGUAGACCUCCCACCCUUGUGUAUUAUUACUUUGUUGCUUUGGCGAGCUGCCUUCGGGCCUUGUAUGCUCGCCAGAGAAUACCAAAACUCUUUUUAUUAAUGUCGUCUGAGUACUAUAUAAUAGUUAAAACUUUCAACAACGGAUCUCUUGGUUCUGGCAUCGAUGAAGAACGCAGCGAAAUGCGAUAAGUAAUGUGAAUUGCAGAAUUCAGUGAAUCAUCGAAUCUUUGAACGCACAUUGCGCCCCUUGGUAUUCCGGGGGGCAUGCCUGUUCGAGCGUCAUUUCAACCCUCAAGCUUAGCUUGGUAUUGAGUCUAUGUCAGUAAUGGCAGGCUCUAAAAUCAGUGGCGGCGCCGCUGGGUCCUGAACGUAGUAAUAUCUCUCGUUACAGGUUCUCGGUGUGCUUCUGCCAAAACCCAAAUUUUUCUAUGGUUGACCUCGGAUCAGGUAGGGAUACCCGCUGAACUUAAGCAUAUCAAUAAGCGGAGGAAA
rnacentral:rRNA from 1 species